rnacentral:rRNA from 1 species
UACGUAGGGGGCAAGCGUUGUCCGGAAUCAUUGGGCGUAAAGAGCGUGUAGGCGGCCAGAAAAGUCCGCUGUGAAAACUCGAGGCUCAACUUCGAGCUGUCGGUGGAAACUUUCUGGCUAGAGUCCGGAAGAGGAGAGUGGAAUUCCAGGUGUAGCGGUGAAAUGCGCAGAUAUCAGGAGGAACACCGGUGGCGAAGGCGGGUCUCUGGGCCGAUACUGACGCUGAGGAGCGAAAGCGUGGGGAGCGAACAGG